rnacentral:rRNA from 1 species
UGGGGAAUAUUGCACAAUGGGCGCAAGCCUGAUGCAGCAACGCCGCGUGAAGGAAGAAGGGUUUCGGCUCGUAAACUUCUUUAGGCAGGGACGAAAAAAAUGACGGUACCUGCAGAAUAAGCCCCGGCUAACUACGUGCCAGCAGCCGCGGUAAUACGUAGGGGGCAAGCGUUAUCCGGAAUGACUGGGUGUAAAGGGUGAGUAGGCGGUCCUGCAAGUCAUAUGUGAAAUCCCCAAGCUUAACUUGGGGACUGCAUAAGAAACUGUGGGACUAGAGUACAGGAGAGGUAAGCGGAAUUCCUAGUGUAGCGGUGAAAUGCGUAGAUAUUAGGAAGAACACCAGUGGCGAAGGCGGCUUACUGGACUGAAACUGACGCUGAGUCACGAAAGCGUGGGGAGCGAACA